rnacentral:tRNA from 1 species
GCCGAAGUGGCGGAAUAGGCAGACGCGCGCGACUCAAAAUCGCGUACCCUCGGGUAUGUGGGUUCGAUUCCCACCUUCGGCACCA